rnacentral:rRNA from 1 species
GAGUUUGAUUAUGGCUCAGGACGAACGCUGGCGGCGUGCCUAAUACAUGCAAGUCGAGCGGAGUUGAAUAAGUGCUUGCACUAAUUCAACUUAGCGGCGAACGGGUGAGUAACACGUAAAGAACCUGCCUCAUAGACUGGGACAACUACUGGAAACGGUAGCUAAUACCGGAUAACAUAUUUUUCCGCAUGGAAGAAUAUUGAAAGUCGGUCAUGCUGACACUAUGAGAUGGCUUUGCGGUGCAUUAACUAGUUGGUAGGGUAAAGGCCUACCAAGGCGACGAUGCAUAGCCGACCUGAGAGGGUGAUCGGCCACACUGGGACUGAGACACGGCCCAGACUCCUACGGGAGGCAGCAGUAGGGAAUCUUCCGCAAUGGACGAAAGUCUGACGGAGCAACGCCGCGUGAGUGAAGAAGGAUUUCGGUUCGUAAAACUCUGUUGUUAGGGAAGAAUGAUUGUAUAGUAACUAUAUACAGUAGAGACG